GGAUGUGAGGGCGAUCUGGCUGUGACAUCUGUCACCCCGUUGAUUGCCAGGGUUGAUUCAGCUGAUCUGGCUGGCUAGGCGGGUGUCCCCUUCCUCACCGCUCCUUGUGCAUCCCUCCCAACUCUGUGUGCUCGGUCAAAGAGGACAAUCAUCCUGGACAGAGGAGGACCGUUCUUCUCGGUCAAGGGUAUACAAGUAGCUGUGCUCCCUGACUAGAACCUCCAAACAAGCUCUCAGAAUGAACUGAAUGUUUAUAAGACUACUUUUAUAGUAAUUUUUCUCAUGAGAUCUUAUUAAAACACAUUUUGUUUAUGAAAACUGUU
rnacentral:snRNA from 1 species